rnacentral:rRNA from 1 species
CAGCAGCCACGGUAAUACGGAGGGUGCAAGCGUUACUCGGAAUCACUGGGCGUAAAGGACGCGUAGGCGGAUUAUCAAGUCUCUUGUGAAAUCUAACGGCUUAACCGUUAAACUGCUUGGGAAACUGAUAAUCUAGAGUAAGGGAGAGGCAGAUGGAAUUCUUGGUGUAGGGGUAAAAUCCGUAGAUAUCAAGAAGAAUACCUAUUGCGAAGGCGAUCUGCUGGAACUUAACUGACGCUAAUGCGUGAAAGCGUGGGGAGCAAACAGGAUUAGAUACCCGCGUAGUCCCUGUCUCUUAUAC